ACGGGAGGCAGCAGUGGGGAAUAUUGGGCAAUGGGCGAAAGCCUGACCCAGCAACGCCGCGUGAGGGAAGAAGGUUUUCGGAUUGUAAACCUCUGUCCUUGGUGACGAAAAGAUGACGGUAGCCAAGGAGGAAGCCCCGGCUAACUACGUGCCAGCAGCCGCGGUAAUACGUAGGGAGCGAGCGUUAUCCGGAAUUACUGGGUGUAAAGGGAGUGUAGGCGGGACUGUAAGUCAGAUGUGAAAUAUGCCGGCUCAACUGGCAGACUGCAUUUGAAACUGCGGUUCUUGAGUGAAGUAGAGGUAAGCGGAAUUCCUAGUGUAGCGGUGAAAUGCGUAGAUAUUAGGAGGAACAUCAGUGGCGAAGGCGGCUUACUGGGCUUUAACUGACGCUGAGGCUCGAAAGCGUGGGGAGCAAACAGGAUUAGAUACCCUGGUA
rnacentral:rRNA from 1 species